CGGAACAUAUCGAUACGAAACAUACAUACAUCGCUUGGGACUUAUCGACAUGUUUUAACAGAAGUAGUAUUUGUCGUCUUUCACUUCGUGGUAUACGAACAAUUACCACAUAACUCAGAUAUUCCUUGUAAUUAACCACUAGACUUGGUAACAAGAUGAUAAUGUGGCAGCAGUUUUUGCCUACAAAUAUUACAAGCCAUAUUUGGGUAGUACAAGAACAUACCAGGCUGUAGGAAUCAUCAUCAUCAGCUAGAAUAAACUGCGCAUAUGCGAAAAAAACUCCAAUCGAGGUAACCUAGCAGCAAAUGGUCACUAUGCGUCAUGGAGAACUCGCCUAAUGACCUUUUAUAAUGAGAUCGAGAAAAAGCUAACCCUCCCUUAUUAGUAAGACAUUGUUCGCUAACAUAUACUGCCUGCUUCAAACUGUUUUGUGUCCGGUUUAAAAAUAUCGGUCCGACAUGUAGUCCUCUCAGCCGCGCCCAGUGACUUGCUAUCCGCAUUGGCUGUGACUCAACGGGCAACAAAAAAUGUAAAAAAUUAAUGACUGCUGUCCCCAAAGUAAGCCAAGAUUUAAACGUUGGAUUUGAUUUUAUUAGAGAUUUGACAGCUUGGGCAGUGUUUCGCGCAGCUGAGAACACAACAUUUAAAGCAGUGUUUCUGGUUAAUUAUUUGCCGAUAUUUAAGAUUUAAAACGCUCUCAGCUUAAGCGAGCGGACAAAGGGCAAUUUUGGACGUCACCGAAAAAGUGGCUGCAAAGUGCAAAACCAAUGUAUGGCUGUUACGCAUCUUGUUAUUCUAGUGUCAUUGGUUCUACGGCAUGAUGUGAGCCAGAGGCAAAAGUUUCUCCAAGCUGUGAUAUUUCUUGUGGUGAAGGAGAGGUCCAGUUUCUCAUGCGAAGGAAGGAGAGUGUUGUGAUUAAGGUGCACAGACUGAGUGUUUUUGCUUCAGGGCACAUAUCGAAGGGCUGGGACUAUUGGCAAGAAAAGCGGACCUACACAAAUCAGUUCCAACAUCACACGAGGAACGGACUCGUCAAACGAUAAGGAAUCUUCUAAACAUUCAUUUGAAAAUGUAAACCUGUUUGCAUCACCGAUAACGUGUCUAGAAUUUUGAGCAGCUAUGGUAACAGCACCAAAAACAUCAGCGAUUUAAAAUUCGGAUUUAUCGGGAAUAUGAGCGCAAAAAAUUAUUAUUAUUAUAUAGUAAUAUAUAUUAGUAAUUCAGUCGUUAUAAGACCCUGGAGUCUCUUUCAGUUCCAGUGCUUCUUUUAUAUUUUUUCUUAUUUUUAUUUGUGUUCUUAAAAAUUAUGAAAGUAACAAUUUUUGUACAUCUUAAUUAUAUACAAUAUUUGAUAGUCUUUUGAACUGUUCUGAAAAAAAAACUGAAAAAAUACUGACCGAAUGGCCGCGUUAGACAUUUCUGGAAUUCAAACAUAGAUUUAAUUAUUGUCAGACCUUCAUGAAAUAAAGAGCACAUUGUUAUUUUAAA